UACGGGGGGGGCAAGCGUUGUUCGGAAUUACUGGGCGUAAAGGGCUCGUAGGCGGCCAACUAAGUCAGACGUGAAAUCCCUCGGCUUAACCGGGGAACUGCGUCUGAUACUGGAUGGCUUGAGUUCGGGAGAGGGAUGCGGAAUUCCAGGUGUAGCGGUGAAAUGCGUAGAUAUCUGGAGGAACACCGGUGGCGAAGGCGGCAUCCUGGACCGAAACUGACGCUGAGGAGCGAAAGCCAGGGGAGCAAACGGG
rnacentral:rRNA from 1 species